ensembl:lncRNA
GUUGUGGGUCUGCAUAAGCAGCUAACGUUCCUGCUUUUGGAAGCAUUUGCUCUUUUGGUGCUGGAUUGAACCUCAGAUCUUGCUCUUAACUUGUUCUUUCGGGGUUAAAAUGGAAGCUUCUGGAAGAUAGGCUGGGAGCUUUCUCUACAGUUCUGCAGAAUGCACACAACUCCUAGCAGAGAUUUGAAACAAGAAGUGCAACUUUCAUUCAGGAGCUUGUAUGAAGUGAUCAGGACUGCAGAAUUCCUGCCCAGGAUGAAUGUGUCUGCGAUGCAGGUUUCCUGGAGUAGUGCUGAACUGAAGAUACUGAGAUAUCAAUUACACCCUCAAGUUACAAGAAAAUAUUAAAUCUGGGAAGAAAAUGACACGUAAAAAGCAGAAUUUUCAUGCGUCCCUUGGUUUAGGAGCAGUUACAUGGAUGCAGUUGGCUUCCACCUGAUGUCCAACCAUCUCAUGUGGUCACCGCUCCAAAAAGAAGCAGAGAAGUUCCCAAACUGCCUGGAUCACAGCAUGCUCCAGAGAUGCCAGCAUGACAGCAGUGGGGAUAUCAGAAUCGUGCUGCGUGUACUUUCUUCACCUGCUUGCACAACAGAAGGUAGGGAAGGAGAAAUGCCUUCUCCUUGCUUCUGUGCACACUGAAACCUCGGGAUCAGUAGAUGUAUUUUUGGAUGCAUUCCUUCUGUCAUUUGUGGCGUGCAAUGAGGAAACUCAAUUAAAUGUCAGGAGGGUGAAUGAGCUGAACAUACAGCAGGAGCCUAACAAAUCAGGAAAGGAAAUGCAUUCCCUGUUUGUAUCGGUCAUGGGACAGUGAGUGGAAUUGAUCCAAGUUAAAGUCUUUUAACUCCAGUGAGAGAAAGCAUCAUGUUGUUCAGACCACCAUCAGAUAGGGCGACAAGUUAUAUCUGAUGAAGACCGGGGGGCACAUCAUCGUUCAAAACAAGGGACUGAAAACAGAGCAGAGAAUUGCAGCCAACGUGCUGGGAAGCACUCCAAGAAGACAGCAAAGCUGCUUCUCUGUAUGGAUGAGAUGUUAACUGGACAGUGGAGUGAAGAAACACCAUCAGAGACAGCAAGACCUUCAUUUGCAGAGCGGGACCUUAUUCAGUGUUGUCUUCUUCCUCCUGGACAAGUGCAUGCCUCUGCUGGCUGAUGCCAAGAGAAGGUGCAGAAGAUGUCUUGGAACUUUGUGAUGGCCCUGAAGACUGUAGAUCUCUUUAUGAUACACAAAUCGUGCAUAGCAAGAGCUCAACGAUUUAAGUCUUCUUUUCUACCAGUUAACUCGACUCUGCCUGCAGCAGAGAGAAUAGUCCAGAGCCAAUUCCAGGGAUGUUCUGCUGGAACAGUGUUGGGGAUGCACAGUCAUAGCUUUUUUCCCAGACGAGAGGGAAAGAGGAAUUUAAGGAGGCUGCCAGUAGGAAGGAGAAAACCUGCCCCUCUUUUUUACUUGAUUUGCACACAUGCAGCCCACUGUAAUCCUUGCUGUUGGUGCUGGCUUGUCAAUUUCAAUAUGGUGAAAAAUGGCCUAGAAAUAAGCAUGGGCUCUUGUUAAUGGAAGAAUGAUUUGUAUAACUGGUAGUAAUAAAUAGGUAGAUAAAUCUCCAGCAAACAUAAGGGCACUUUUUAGCUGCCUGAGGAAGAUGCAGGUAAUUCAAACAAUUUUCUUGCCUGCGUGAAGGGAGGCAGCUGCUGGGAAACACCCACUCCUCAACACAUUCAUUGGCUUUUGG